UUCUAACCGUAAACGAUGACAACCAGCGAUUAAUCGGCGUUAAUAUAUGACCCGAUUAGCAGCUUCCGGGAAACCAAAGUUUUUCGUUUCCGGGGGAAGUAUGGUUGCAAAGCUGAAACUUAAAGGAAUUGACGGAAGGGCACCACCAGGAGUGGAGCCUGCGGCUUAAUUUGACUCAACACGGGAAAACUCACCCGGCCCGGACACCGUAAGGAUUGACAGACUGAGAGCUCUUUCUUAAUUCGGUGGGUGGUGGUGCAUGGCCGUUCUUAGUUGGUGGAGCGAUUUGUCUGGUUAAUUCCGAUAACGAACGAGACUCUGGCCUAUUAAAUAGACGAUAUAUUUAAAAGUAUAUCGCGCUUCUUAGAGGGACAAGCGGCGUCUAGCCGCAUGAAAUAGAGCAAUAACAGGUCUGUGAUGCCCUUAGAUGUCCGGGGCUGCACGCGCGCUACACUGAAAGAAUCAGUGUGCGUUCUACCUAGUUCGGAAGAACCGGGUAACCCAAGUAAAUUCUUUCGUGCUUGGGAUAGGGAAUUGCAAUUAUUUCCCUUAAACGAGGAAUUCCCAGUAAAUGCGGGUCAUAAGCUCGCGUUG
rnacentral:rRNA from 1 species